CAGCAGUGGGGAAUCUUAGACAAUGGGCGCAAGCCUGAUCUAGCCAUGCCGCGUGAGUGAUGAAGGCCUUAGGGUCGUAAAGCUCUUUCGCCAGGGAUGAUAAUGACAGUACCUGGUAAAGAAACCCCGGCUAACUCCGUGCCAGCAGCCGCGGUAAUACGGAGGGGGUUAGCGUUGUUCGGAAUUACUGGGCGUAAAGCGCGCGUAGGCGGAUUAGUCAGUUAGAGGUGAAAUCCCAGGGCUCAACCCUGGAACUGCCUUUAAUACUGCUAGUCUUGAGUUCGAGAGAGGUGAGUGGAAUUCCGAGUGUAGAGGUGAAAUUCGUAGAUAUUCGGAGGAACACCAGUGGCGAAGGCGGCUCACUGGCUCGAUACUGACGCUGAGGUGCGAAAGUGUGGGGAGCAAACAGGAUUAGAUACCCUGGUAG
rnacentral:rRNA from 1 species